ACAACCGUACGACAACGAGUGGAUGUGUUAUUUUUCAAACACUAAUCGCAAAUGUUUCGUUUGUUGAAACCAAACCGGAAUCUCACCACGCUACGGUCAUCGAAACAGGUUUCACCAGGCAAAAGGGUUUUUCCGUUACUACGAGAAUUCUUCUUCUGUUGUGGAACACAAUUCCAUUCCCCGAUGCGUCAAUCUUCGCUCGAAACCCCAACGCUACAUUCUACAUCGUCGGGCUCCAAACGAUGGACUCGAUCCAGUCCAGGUACCAGGAAGCAAGUGUAUAAAUACCCGGAAUGGCCGUACCGCAGGAUUUGCCGAACGAGGUGACGGCGACCACGUAAAACAGGCAAUCAUUGUCCGCGUCCCGUACCUGCAGCGGCCCGCCGGAAUCACCCUGGCAGGUGUCCCGGCCACCAUCGACAUAACCGGCACAGAUUUGACUGUCGGCAAUGCCCUGCGAGAGUAGUUGACCGAUAUCGCGAUACUGUUGCUGGCAGCUCGCUCUACUGAACCGAUCGAGGACCACCUUCAGCAGCUGAUUGGCACUGGAACCAACUGAGGGGAAGGUAGGUAAGUGAAAAAAAUUCACAUUUAUUAAUCGCUUUGCUAUUGUAGCCCCGCUACUUACAACUCUCCUCGGCUCCAUACCCGGUUGCGAUCAGCUUGUGCUCUUCGACCUCCACCGAUUGGUACAGGCAAGCCGGCCGGAUCCGAUGGCUCACGCGGACUGCCUCUGCCAACUUAACCAACGCAAUAUCAUCGUACUUCUUGCGGAUGGUGUAGUCCGGAUGUUUGAUGAACGUUUCAAUUGCAUAAUCCUCGGGUCUAGCCCCAUCCGAAUCGCUGGAUAAAUCCAAAUCUCCCAACCGAACCAACACCGCUUCCUUGCUGCGACAGUGCGCUGCCGUCAGUACGAACCGUUCACUGAUCAGCGAUCCACCGCACCGGUACUCGAUGGUGCCGGUGUCCGGCUUCCGAUAGCCGAUGGCUGCCAUGUGCGGAAAUUCACCCAGUUUGGCCGCUUCACCACCCACAAUCAGCUUGUUGUCUGCGUUGCACAUUUUGCCUCGCUUCUGAAUCAGCUCGGCGUUCGGUUUGAGCCAACUCAGGAUUUGAGUGGGGCUGGCCAAUCGCUCAUAUUCCUUGCAUUCUAACCGAAUCAAAAACAUAAAAAAGACCAUAAAGCUUUUAGCGGAGUAACCAACUCAGGGGAAACACUGUUCGGCUUACUUUUAGCGCUGAUUCGCAGUCCCGCCUGGUGCGUCUGUAGCUUUUCCAUGCGCAUCUGAUAGUCAUGAGGGCAACAGACGACCGCUUCCUUGGCGUUGUAGGUGCACACCGUUAUCCGGGCAGCCAGCGAUUCCAGCACCGGACGGCAGUUGCUGUAGCCGAGGCAUACACCCGGACCCGUUUGGAACGGACAUGAGUCGCCUUCUGUUUGGGAAGAUAAAGCAAAGUGAAUCGGUUUUAGUAUUAGUGCAAUUGCCCCGAGUUCGGAAGGUUAAUUGCUGGGAAAACCGACUAUCCAUAGAUCCAUAGUGUUCACAUUUCGAAGAUAUUUUGACCGCCUAGUUUUCUCAGAUAUGGCUCAACCGAUUUUAACAAGCUUUGGGUGAAGCCAGAGUGGGCGCGAUCUGUCUGUAUUUCGUUCAUUUAUUUCCAGCAAAAAAUUAACAUGUAGUCCAGAGUAAACACGAGGCGUUGCGUAGUGAAAAGUAAUCUCAGCUUUUCAUGCAUCUGAUGAGCGAACAAAGGUUUCCUAAAUUAUUUCUCGCCAUGACGGAAGUAGAUAAUUUGAUUGAUAUCGAAGCUCUCAUCGGAGCUGGUUUUUCAACUGGGUUCUUGUGGACAAGUGUUGGAAAGAGGUUUCGAUAACAUUAGAGAUUACUGAUUAAAAUGCUAAGAAAAAUCUACGCGAUACUUUUGGUCGGGAGCUACGAGAACUACUAAAAUUAAGACCCGUGGUUUCAGGUGGUGAUGUAAUAUACUCGAGCUAGCUUUAUUUCAAAAGGCAUUAGAAAUCUUUGAAGAAUAUGAAGCCUUUUGUACAAUACAACGACAACGACAUGAUUGAUACCGUCAAAAUCGUCGAAGAAGGGUCAUUUGAAAUGGCACCUAGUCUGGUUGAAACAUUCGAGCUAGCAAAGACAUCCGGUGUACAAUCAGUUGCUAUUGCAUCACGUUUUAAAGAAAGUUAAAGAGAAUUCCGAAAAGAAUAACAAAUCGGUACUACUAAAUAGAGUUUCAAAAGCUACUGAAAAAAAAGUCGCAGCGUGAGAAGGAUUUGCAUUAUGCAAAACAAAAAAGCUACAACUUCGGAUAGAGCUGCUGCAGUUGACACUACAGCAUCUAGAUCCAAUGAAGAUGAUUCCGUAUGAUUUUGAUCAGAAUUUUCCUUUCAAUAAAUAUGAACAUAAACAAACUA